rnacentral:lncRNA from 1 species
GGGAUUGCUUUUAUUUAUUUAUUUAUUUUUAUUUUUAUAAAUAGGGAUCCCUUUUUAUUUGUUUAGUUGGUGAGAGGAAUAAAUGAACUCAUAAAAAAAAAUAUUUAAAAUUUAAAAAGAAAACACAACACAGGGUGGAAAGCAACGCAUAUGUUGUAACAUUAACUGGAGCUGUUUGAAAUUACAUAGCAACCCCUUGGUCAGCUUUUUGAAGAGGUUGGCCCAAAUUCAACUCAAAGCUUGUUUUAGAACUAAAGUUAUAGGCUAUCUAAUCCGGUUCAUUUGAGUCCAAUGCGCCACGGCCCAUCUAAGCUCACCCAAGUCCGCACAAUUUUAUAUUUAAAAUAUCAUUUGUAAAGAGGAGGCGCUGGGCACAGACAGGCAAGGUGGCCGCCAAUUGCCUCCAAAUUAGAAGAGCCCCAAUUUGAAUAAACCUCUAUAUAUACAUACACAUAUCUUACUUUAAAAAUCAUGCUAUAUAUAUUAAUAUUAUGUUAGGCCCAAAUAUUAUAUAUAAAGACAUAAAGCCCAAUUAAGCAAACUAAAACUAAAAAGAGGAAACUCAGUAAGCGCCAAUGUUAUUUAAACUUAUAAAUUUUGGUUGUGGGUGGCACAACGCGGGUGUGCCUAGUAAAUGGGAUGGGGUUCUCUUAGAUAAAAAAUUUGAUCGUUCAUUUUUUUAUCCCAGUUAGUGGGAGCCAAAACAUAAGGGGGUCGUUUGGUACACAUGCUUGGUUUGGACUGGCUUGGACUAAAUUUAGUACCAUGUUUAUUUCAUUUAAUUCUAGUCUUAGAUGGGAUUGCU